rnacentral:lncRNA from 1 species
UGUGUUAUUGAUGACAUCCUAGGUAUUCUAAAAAUUUUCAGAAAACAUGAGCAGCACUUGAAGAUUGGUUUUGCAAACCUUGCGGAAGUAAGUCAGUAGGAGAAUUGUGUAUGCCAAACUGAAGAAGUGUGAGUUUUGGCUAUUAAGUGUGACGUUUCUAGGACACAUCAUCAGUGUGGAUGGAGUAUCUGUUGAUCCUCACAAAUCGAACCAUAUGAAGAGCCAAGGCAACAAAUGUGAUAGAAGUUAGAAGUUUAUCGGGUUUAGCUGGAUACUACCAGAGAUUUGGAAAGAUUUUUCUAGAAUUCAAAACCUUUUAACGACAGAGCUUUGCGGAAGAACGGCAAUUUUCGAAUGGGCAUGAGAAGCGAGAGAAGAGGAAAGAAGAUUUCAGAAUUGAAGAAGCGAUUAGUAUCCGUGUCGAUUUUUUUUAGACUUGCCUCCGGGACAGAUGGUUUUGCAAUCUACAGUGACCCAUCACAUGAGGAGGUUGGGAUAUGCGUAUUGAUGUUGCAACAUGGGAAAGUGAUUGGCCUAUGCCUCACGACAUUGAGACUGCAUGAGAGGAAUUAUAGACCCAUGAUCUAGAACUAGCAGCAGUGUUUGCUUUGAAGAUUUGGUCGUCAUUACUUGUUACGGAGUCACAUGUGAAGUUUCACCGACCACAAGAGAGUUUGAAGUAAGUACUGUUUACGCAGAAGGAGCUGAAUAUGAGGAUAGCAUAGAUGGCUUGAGUUGAUAAAAAGACGACGACAUUCUAUUCAGUAUCAUCCAGGCAGGCUUAACGUUUUUGUAGCAGACGCGUUAAAGCCGGAAAGUCAACGUCAAUCUAGCAUGUUUAGUUACGUCGAAAAACCCCUUAUUGUUGAGCUAAGAAAGAGCAGAGAUUGAAAUAGUGCACCAAAACACCAUCAUGAGCUACGGACCAGGACGUCAACCGACCUGGAUGGAAAUUGUAAAGCAACGGCAACUAGACGAUCCCGUACUGUGAAAAGUUUAAUAAGGGAGUUAGUGAAUCCAAAGCCGGAUUUACCUACAGAUAGGGCACUUAGGUUUCAAGGCCGUUUAUGUGUUCCAAACAUAACAGAAGUCAAAAGGACAAGUUUAGUUGGAGGAGGAAGGGCCCACAAUACAAGUUCAACAAGUCAUCCAGGAGGAACGAAGAUGUAUCGACGAUUGAAAGGAGACAUGUUGGAUGGAAUAGAAUGGAAAAAGAAAAUAGCAAAAAUUUGUGUCACAGUGGUUUAUCAGUCAAAACAAGUCAAGGAAGAAUACAAGGCCAGCAGGGGAUAUAUUGCAAUCGCUACCAAUACCGGAAGGAAGUGGGAGCCACAUCAAAAUGAGUUUUGUAGUCGGACUACCGAGCUCACCAAGAGUUGUGAGCCGUUUGGGUGACUUGUAGACCGUCUACUAAGUCAGGACAUUUCUUGCUAGUAAAGGACUAAGUAUCAUUGAUCGAAGAAGUAUGCAAACCUUUACAUUAGAAGAAAGAAAUUAUCGGACUUCAUGGCAUACCUUUAUUUCUAUAUUCGGAUCGAAUCCGAGUUUACGUCUAAGUUUUGAAAAAGUUUGGCAACGAGCCUCUAGGCACCGAGCUAAGUUUCAGCACCGCUUUCUUACAACAGACGGAACGGCAAUCGAAAAGAACUAUCCAGAAUUUAGAAGAAAUGCUACGGCUAUGUGUACUCGAUUUCCAAGGAAAAUUGGGAAAAAUGCACUUACGCUUGUAGAAUUUGCUUACAACAACAGUUUUCACGCGAGCAUUGAAUGGCACUGUACGAAGCACUCUAUGGAGGAACUGUAGGUCGCUGUUUUUUUGUUGCGGAGUUUUUUUCGGAGGAAAACAAAUGUUAGGCCCGAGAAUAGUUCAACUGACGAAUAAUAAGAUCAAGGUAAUUCAACAGAGACUUCAAAAUGCACGAGUUGCGCCAAAAGAACAUACAGAUGUUCGGAGACGAGACUCGAGUUUGAAGAAGGGACCACUAUUUUUGAGUAUCCUCAUACCAAGGGGAUAAACCGUUUUGGGAAGAAAGUAAAGUUGAAUCCAAGGUGAUAUAGGGCCAUCAAAAUUCUCAACGAAUGGCACCGUUGAUUACCGUAUUGCUCUUCAACCAGAGUAUCGCACGUGAACAUGAUGUUUUUCACGUAUCGAUACUACGAAAAAUAUGUACAUGACCCCCCACUCAUGAUUCAUAAUUAUCUUUUGGACGUAGAGAAGAUUUAAGCUUGUGGAAAAACGAUAGAGAUGUGGAUAGUCGCGGACCAAGUGCUUAGAAACAAGGUUAAUCCGGUAGUGCGAGUUGUUAUGGCGGAAUACUCAUAUGAAGAUCUACUUGGGAACCGAGAAGAUGAGAUUCGAGAGCUGUAUCCAUUUCUCUUGAUGAACGUUCUAUAAUGAUUGAGGUACAUUUAGAAAUUCUUUUGGCAUUAUCAGCAUCCGUGUAUUCAUGUACCAUUAUGGUGUUCUUUUACCAAAGGCAUCUCGGGGAAGGCGGUUGUUUUUGGAGAUAUCAACCGGGUCGCAGUGUUGUAGGCUGCCCACAUGAGAGGCAGUGGAGUAGUUGCAACGGGUUAAACCCCAUUAGAUACGUUCUAUCACGAUUAGAUAUUCGAUGACACGAAGAAUGUUAUCAAUGUAUCACGACGAAGCAUGACGUAGCCAAGUUGAGGAUAAAUUUGUAUAAAGGAGGGAGCAGAAUGUAAUACCCCGAAUAUGUAAAAACGUUAAUGGGUAAAUUAUGACCGCUAUGUUAGUUUAGAAAGUCCCUAAUUUUAUAGGAUGGAAAUAAAUAGUCAGAGUUAGUUCAGAACUUUUCCAUAUGUUCGAAUGACAGGGAAUGCGUUCGACGGUCGCGUUCGAUGGUUAAAAACGGGUAACAGCAGAAAAGAAAAAAAAAAAAAGUGAAACACGAAAUAGAAAGAGACGCACCACAUGGGAUAAAUUCCCAUAUCAGCCAAUACACCCUCACCUCUCUCUUUCACUUUACCAAAUCUAUACCCAACCCACACACACACGGAGAGAGAGAGAGAGCAGGAGAACGGACGAACGAAGAGACGAGAGAGAAAGAGGAAGAGAGGAGAAAGCUUGGAAAGUCAUUCAAGCAAAUAAAGUCAUUGGGAGAUGGGGAAGCUUAAGGAAGAGGUAUAUAACUCAAAACCAUAUAUAUAUGGGGAUGUAUCAGUUUUAGGGUUUUCUUUGGGUUAAAAUCUUAGAUCUACCAUGUAGAAUAGUGUUAAGAGUUGAAAUUGACUAUUGACAACCAAAAUGGGUUUAUCUUUGAGUUUUAGAAGCCUUGAAAGAAAUGGAAAGAGUUGGAAUUGAUUUGGUGUGAGAGGAAGAAGAAGCAGUGAGUUCACAGAAAAAGGGUUCGAACGUUUUUACUGUGGUUCGAACGUUUUGGUUCGAACGUUUUAGGAAGGGUUCGAACGUUUUGGUUCGAACGUUUUGGAAAGAGUUCGACGGUUGCCGUUUGAACGUUUUCAAUGUGGUUCGAAUGGGAUGUUGAGGCUUUAAUGGGAAUGGAAUGUGUUCUCACCAUCUUAGAGUAUUCAAGUGAAUAAAGAAGUUUUAAACGGAUAUGCCUUGGGUAGGAAAUUAGCAGUUUUCUAUUAAUUUCAAGUUUUUUAGCAAUUGGUUAUCAUAGUAAUGAUAAACGAUACCUAUAUCCCUAUGUGUAGAAACCCCCCCCCACGACGUGUAAGUAUAGUUAGAGAAUGCAGGUGAGUAACACGAUGCCAUAACAAAAAUAUGACUUUCAACAUUUGUCCACACAUAUUAUUGGUAUGCAAGAGUUUUCAAUGUUUUCAAUGAUUAAAGUUAUGUUAUCCUAUAAAUGCAUCUCUUAAACGUAUGAUAAUGCUACUAUGUACGAAAGAAAAUCCACGGAUGUUUGCUUACAAACGAAACGAAUAUGUUCAAGUAUAUGCAUGUGACACUCGGGGCCCCCUGUGGUGAGACUUUAAUCUAACCUAAUGGUCCUAGAAGGUAAAAUGAGGGAUGUGAAAUUAUAAAUUAUUUACACGGGAUAUCUCGGCUAAAGAGCCACCCAACAUAAUGGUACAAUGUAGGUUAGUUAAUCUAUCGUACGUUCAUGAUAUGCAGUAUGUUUAUGGAAAACAUGUGAUGCCAUAUUAUGCAAGUUCAAGUUUCUGAAAAAGAAAAUUAAUGUUCAAGGAAGCUAUGUUACGCUCACCUCGUUUCACACGUAUGAAUAUGUAUGAUAUGAAAUUUAUCCAUGAGUAUUUUAGUUUAUGCAUUUGUUGUUAUUCACAAAACUUUACCUUCCGUUGCGAAAAUCUUUUCAGGAAACCAAAGUGAAGAACCAUAGGACGAGAUUGAGGCACAGGUUGUAGUGUUGAUAGCCCAAGGGCUUUGUGUGUAUUUUGUGGGUUAGACCCGAUUUAUGUCUUGGAGAUUAUGUGUAAUUAAAGUUAGCCUGGGAAUGUAUGCAAAGUUUAAAACUUAGACACAGUUCUGUAUUUACGGUAUGGACGUGACCUUUGUUAUUUUCAGUCAUGGACUUUCCCGCAUCAAGACAAUUAUUAUGCAUUUUUGAUUAGAAUGCACAGGUUUAAGGUAAGUUGGCCUUGGCGGCUAGCCGUCGGCCAUCACGCGCCCACGAUCCGCAUAGGCCGGUUGCGGGGCGUGACAUUGGGCCUUGGGCUUUGUUUGGCCCAAGCACAAACCCAAACCAAAAUCAACCUUGGGUACAAUUAAUUUGGCCCACUCUCUCACACCUCCACUUUCAAGCCCAAAUCAAAAUACAACUUUAUUUUUUAAUAUGGGUAAACUCAUAUAUAUAUAUAUAUAUACACACAUAUAUAUACUUGACAUCACACGUGCGUCCUAAUUACGCCAUAUAUAAAAAGAGAAAAAUUUUAAAGCCUUACAAUAUCACUUUAUCUGUGAUCUAGUUGAAGAAAAAUUAUCUCUCUAUAGCAUAUUUCUACGAAAAAUCAACUUACUAAUCUCUUCACUCAACCCCUUGAUACUCUUAAGUUUGAAUUUCUUCAAAAAUCUCUGGGAGUGUUCUCACUUGAAUAGUUUGUUAUGCUGGAGUUAAGGCUUGAGUACUUCUUAGCGUCUCAUUUGUUUCAAGCCUUGUCUUAUGGUGUGUGUUUGUGUGUGUGUGAGUGUGUAUGUCUUCUUUUUGGUCUAAACUUGUGCAUGUCUUAUCUCUCUCUUCCUUUCCUUGCAAAGCACUUUCCAUGAAAUGGUAAUUGUUUGAGUAGGCUCUGGAUUGAAUCUAGUAUGUAUCUUUGAUUGUGUAGAGGUAAUUCAAGUGACAUUCAUGAUACUAGUCAUACUCUUGCUUUAUAUUGUUUUGAUGCUCUCAGCAUGAGAUCUCUUAGAAUAUUGAAUAUGGCUAUUUAUGAUCAUGUUGCAAACUUUAUAAUGGAUGAUCUCUUUUUUCGUGAAUAUCUAGAAUGACCGUGAUCAUGUAUAUACUUUCUUAAAAAAUAUUAUUUUUAAUUAGAUGAAAAGGGCUACCUGUGAGUGUGAGAGAAACUACCCUUGUUAUGUGACAAGAGGAGAUGACUAUCUACUCAUGUGUGUAAAAGCCGCCAUCCUCAAAUGAUUUCAAAUGUUUAAAGUUCAUAAUUGGAGAGAUAGCGUUAGAACUUUAAAUGGUGAAUAGAACAAAAUAAAUAAAUAUUUGAGAUAGCAUGAGGGUUUGACUUCUAGUACUUUAGUAGUCAAGAUGAGAUCUCCAUUAUGAAUCAUGCUUGGAUUUUGUUUUAAGAUCUGUAUUCGCAUUAAUCUAAUUGACGAAUAUGCAUCUUGGCUUCAUGGUAGUCUUAUCAUUACUGGAUAUCUUAAGUUGCUUUUAUUCUUUUUCUUGACCAUACUGAGGUUAAAUUACUCAUACUCAUGGCUUCUUACAUUUCAUUGGUUGUCUUUUACUUGAGUUAAAAUUGAGGUUAUAUGCAUGUUCAUUUUAUUCUAUCUCAUCUCUCCAUUGUAUUUUUUUCUCUAAAAAGUUCGCUGGAUCUUGCGAGUUUUCAAUCUCGCAAAGUUUACUUAUUUGGGUGACGGAAACUUCUAGCGUCUAGUUUGCGAGAUCUCGCGGGUUCUCAAUCCUGCAAAUUCCACUUAUUAGGACAAGUAUAAAAUCAAAGCAACUAUUCUUUUUUGCCCUAAUCUUCUACAUCUGUCUAUAUAUGUCUCUCUUCUUCUCUCUCGCGAUCUCAAGUGACAAAUCCCCUCGAUCUAGCGACAUAUUCUCCUCUAUUCUUCUCUAGAUCUUCCGAUCUAUUCCUAGGUAGUCCUCUCAUUCUCUGAGUUUUUCUUUAUAGUGUGAAUUUUUGUGUUUUUUUUAACUUAGGUUUCGUUUUUGUUUGGGUUUUCUUCUAUUCGAUUAGUUGUGGGUUAAUUAAUUAUGGUUUGGAGAGUUCACUCAUUGUUUGGAGUGUAAGUGUGUCAAUAAUUUCAGUCGUUUGAAGAGUUCUGGUUCAUUAUAAGGGUGUGCAGUCUCAGACUAAUUUUUCUUUUUUUGGCAGUUAUUUUUUGUGUUUUGUUUUUGUUUCUUGGCCCAGUCAUCUACUGGACUGGUGUAUCUGCAUUAAUUAGUUUUGUUUUUGGAUUGAAUUUUUCAUCUAAUGUCUACUCUUCAAAAGAGAAAGGGGCCUCAAACCUUGUCUUCCCACCAUUCAACGGGUACCCUAGUAAAUGACAAGCCACAUGCUCUUGUAGUAGGUCUGGCAAUGCUGGUUCCUCUGGAACUGGCCAUAGGGGAGAAUCUCAAAUCUUGAUGCCUCUAAAUUCAGGCCUAACUUUAAGGUCGAGGCCCAUUUUAAUCGUUCCUUCAAAUCUCGCACGGUGUUUGUUUCUUGGGGUAUUCUUCUUGAUGAGUUUUUUGAGACUCUUAUUUAUACGUAUUUUCAUAAGUGGGGUUGGCAAAGACUUGUUGUGUCUAAGGGAGUGGUCUAUUUAGAACUCGUUGGGGAAUUCUAUGCCAAUAUCCAUGCUUCGGAUAAGGAGGUCGAGACAUUAAAUUCCUAUGUUCGUAGGGUGUCUUUUGACUUUUCUAUUUUUGAUAUCUGCACCUUCCACCACAUACAGCCCCUUGACCCUGAUAUUGUUGGAUUUCCAUAUCCCUCGUCCUUUAAUAGGCCAUCCUUGAAUUCUUUGGCCCACUUGUUAUUGGCUGAUAAGAGUGAUUGGUCUCCCGGUCCUUCAAGUAUUCUGAAGCAAAAAGGGUUAAAGAACGUCUUUCAUGUCCUUAACCAUAUCAUAUGUGAUCAUUUUCAAUGCACGUCUCAUGUUAGUAAGAUUGAUGAGACUCGUGCAUAGUUUAUACUUGCCAUCCUUGAGGCUUCAUUAGAUAAUUCUUCCCGAGCCUAUCUACCAUUCGGGCUCCUGAUUACUAAGUUUCUUGAAUGCCAUCAAUUUAUUUCUGAGCCUGAUAAGACUCGCAUUCUAGUUUGUAAGGCCAUUUCAUGGCAUACUCUUCGGAUAAGCAAUGUGCAUCUUGGUGUUGCUCCACCUCCUCCUCAGCUUAGGCCCCAUGCCAUGAUGAGACUCCUCCUCUUCCUCCUCCUGAUGUUCCAUCUUCCUUUGCUCCUCCUCAUGCUGCUGCUAAUCCUGCCAUUGCUUCAAAUUCAAGGAUCGCUGAUGCCAUUGUUGCUCUUUUCAAGCAUGUGAAUCUCAUUCAUUGGACUCGAUUGAGCGUAUUCAUCUCAUUGUGGAGCGUCAGGCACAUGAUAUUGUAGCCAUCUAAGAUACGCUUUCGACAUUGUCUCAUCAACAUACUGAGUUUAUCACUGAAGUUAAUGAUUUCAUUAAUAAUAUUCAAUGUAGAUGAUUUGGUUUUGUAUUUAUGAACAUUAAACUUUUUAAGAUUUGGGUCUGUAAUUGAAAAUUUUUAUGGAUGAUUUGGUUUGUACUUAUGGCAACUGAUUUCCUUUUAUGCUCAUAGAUGCGUUUAUAUAAUUUGUAUUGUCUUUUUAUCGUUAUUCCCCAUGCUUUAUUUGUCAAUUUGUUCCAAAAAGGGGGAGAGUCCUACAUCUACUCUACAUCCCUACAUGUCAUGUCUGUGCUUUUAAUAGCUUGAAUGUUUACAUAUCUUUGAUAUCUAUGCACUUGAAUGAUGUUAAGAGCUUUUGAUUGAGGUUUCAUCCAUGUAAUCUUUUUAUUUUCCUGUAAUGUGUAGUAGUAUAGGAUUUUGAUCACAAAAUUACUAAAGGGGGAAAUUGAAAGGUUACGUUGGUGGCCAAAUUUUGUGACAUAGUCUCUUUAUUUUAAUUCGGGGAUUUGGAUUAUUAAUCACAAGUAUUCGAAAAAGAUUUUAAGCUUAUUCAUGCAAGUUUGUGCUAAGAGAAACUUGUAUGAUAUAUCAAGGACGAUAAAACUGCACGUUGAUGGAUUUCGAGGGACUUCAAGGGUGAACACAAUGUGCUGGGAUGUCACAGAGAGCUCGCAGGUAGCUCGCGGGACAUCGAGGAAAAAAGCUGAGAGCUUGCAAAUUGUCACAAAGUUCGCGGGAUUGUUGCGGGAUUGAGACGCAAAAAUCUGCAGCGUCAAAAAUCACGUCGUUUGGUUUUUUUGUACUCCUAUAAAAGGCCCAACCCACAUCCCAAAAGCCUAUCUGAGCCGCCUCUAUUAUUAUACUCUAAAGAAAACCAUUCUCUAUCUUUCAGAGAGUUCAAAAACAGUUCUUAAUGCAAAUCAUCAUCAACCAUAUUAAAGAAAUUAAGAUUUUUGAUGGAGUUCAAGGCAUGAAAUCCGUUAGAAGGGGAUUUGAAUGGUGAUCAAGUACGGAGACAGUGAAUCAUGGAUACAGCUAGAUCUAGACAAUCAUUAGAUUAUGGAUUUGAGAGGUUUUGAUUGUAAGAGUCUUGUAACCGUCUGAACAUCAAGUUAUAGUACAUGAUCUUUGUCCAGUGAAAAGAACACGUGGUUUUUCUCCAAUUUAAGGGUUUCUACGGAAAACGUCUGGUGUGCAUGUGAUUGAUUGGUUUGUUCUCUUUUUGUCUUGGAUCGUACAAUAUUGCUCAUAGUCGUAAUAUUUUGAAUUAAUAUUAUAGAGUUUAGAUGCUUGGAUAAAACAUAGACAAAUGCUAAGUUUUUCAUAAAAUAUUAAAAGUGGGACUCAUUCAUGAAUUUACUUUUGUGUCUAAUAAAAUUGAGCAAAUAUAUAUAUCAUAUGUUGUAGCUCAUCACAUUUUAAUUAGCAUAAAUAAGUGGGGCCUUGGUAUGUAUGAUGUUCUUGUUUCCUAUGAUUUCAUAAUAAAGUUUGUUAAAUACUCUCACACUCUCUCUCUCUUCCAUGCAUAAAAUUAUCUUUCUUCAUUGUUCUAUAACAAUAAAGCAGUGUGACACUUUAUCCCUAGUCUUGACCCUGGGCUAGCUAAAAUAUCACUAAUUUGACUGUUUUCAAGUUUUUUCGCCUUUAGCAAUAAUUUUUUUACCUUUUAUUCAAGAUUUUAUAUAUAUUUUUUUGUUCCUCUUGAUCAAAGGAAUGUAAAAAUUUACAAAUUAUAAUCUAGUUUGAAAAAAAAUCAUGAAAGACAAAAAUAAGUUCCAUUUUUACUCAACUACAAGCCUUUUUUUGAUAAAAGAAAUUUAAAAAUAUAAAAAUUUGGACAAAAUUUAAAAAAAAAUCCACUAAAAAUAAAAUAACACACAAACCAAAGCAACUAAAAAUGAGCUAAUUCAACUGGCCCAAACUGGGACUCAGAAGAAAAAUUACAACCCUUUAUCUUCAGUGCUAAAAAUAUGUGUUAAAGGUAUGCUAAUUAGAAUUAAGGCCCAAUUGUACGUAUGUACUAAUUGUAGAGAUUUUUAAAAUGGACAAAUUAUUUUUAAAAAAAGGGGGUCAAUUUCACUUUUGUCUCUUUGAGUUUGACCUAAGUUUUAUUUUAGUGCUUAUAGUUUCAAUUUUUCUUUCAAAAUCUAACACCGUUCAGCACGGAGUUAACGUUUCAACCGGUUUAAAAUUGUUAGGUUUAUUUUGUUCAAAUUAGAACUAUAAGGACUAAAGUGAAACUUGGAUCAAACUUGAAAGGGUAAAAGAGAAAUUAAACUUUCUUUUUCUUUUUAAGAUCUUUUUUAGCUUGUAAUCAUAUUAAAAAAAUUAAUACUAAAAUUGAUUGUACAUUACACAUUGGACACAUUCUCAUGUAAAAUGUACAACCUUUUUAAAUAUGUUAAUUGUUACUUGUUGAAAUAAUUUUUUUAAUUUUGAUGAUUACAAUUGUGAAAAAGCUAAGCAAAAUUUAAACUUUUAUUAAAAAUUCUUGUUAAUAAACAAAAACAACAAGUGGUCUUAAAAAUGGGAUUGCAUAUAUUUAAAAUAAAAAGUGAAACCUCCCACGAGUCACAUUUGUUGUUAUUGUGUACAUAAAAUUUUUAAAAGUGUUAGUUCAACACUUAAACUCAAAAUGACAUAUCAAUGACAUGAUCUGCUAACUGAAACAAGUAAAUAGGCUCUUUGUCAAAAGUUCGGCCGACCAAACUUAACAGCCGAACCUUGAAAGGCAUAGCUGAAGUAUGAAGAAACAAAGACAAACCACAGAUUUGAUCACUAGAAUUAUAGUUCAUGGACAACCGAACUUGAAAUUCGAUUGACCGAAGUUAGAAGGAGCACAACCGAAUCAACACAGAAGCUCAGUCGAAUUCUAGAAACAUUAUAAGUAUUGAAUAGAUUGGGUCUUCAAAAAUUUAGUACAGUGACGACCAAAAGUUAAAAUCAGUUGACCGAAGUUCAAAUAUGCACGACCAAAGUUCAGUAAGGCAAACCGGAUUCAAAGAAGCACAACCGAAGUUCAAAUGCAGAACAGAGCAAUAACCUUGGUCUUUGGAAACUUGGUGGAAUGACAACUGAAGUUAAAAUUUGGUCGACCGAAGUUUAAAUGACCACGACUGAAGUUGCAAAUAUUUCAGCAAAUGCAAAGAACUCAAGCCACUGGAACUUCGUAGAUUGAUGACCGAAGUUGAAUUUCGGUAGACUGAAGUUCACAACCGAAGUUUGAAUUUUUGAUUUGGCAUAUCUAAAUCAUAGAUCCAAUGGUUGGAAUUAAAUCAAAAUGGCUAGAUCAGUUAUAUUAAAUGCUGCAACGACUCUAAACUGAUUUGGGCUUAUAAAUUCAACUCAAGAGGUUGUUGGAAAAAUAUUGAAGUGCUCUUAAUUCUUACACUUACUUGUAUUCAUCACUUCAAUCCUCUAAACAUUCAUUGUGCGCUUGAUUGAGAUCAAGUGAGUUAGAUCACUAUAGAAAAUGAGAGUUUCAUUGUAUUUAUUAUUCGAUCUAGAGUUGAUGAGCUACAAAUUACUCAUUUAUUGUACAUUGUUUAGAGAAUCACAUUGAAUGAUUGUAAAAGAUUCAAGAGUGAAAGACUCUUGAAUACUAGAAGAGUUCUAGUGAUGUAAUGUUUUUUCAAGUACCUGCAAGCUUGAAGAUAGUGGAAUCCCAAGAAGGAUUUGGAGAGUGGACGUAGGCAAGGACUGGCCAAGCCACUAUAAAUCGUUUACAUUCUUCUAUCUUCUCUGCUUACAUAGCUUACAUACUUGCUAUAUCUAUACGUUUAUUAUUUGUGUAAAUUAUUGAAAAGAAAUUUAAAUUGGCCGUUAAAUCUUAGCAAACCUAUUUCACCCCAUCAUAGUUUACUUAAUUGGUAUCCGAGCAGGACUCUAUUUUCAGAUUUAACAAUCUGGGAGUAAAAGAUCCAUGGCCAAUAUCAAUGGAACACAUAUAACCGAAGGUCAAUUGAUUACUAGGCCUCCACAAUUUUUUGGUAGCAAUUAUAACUAGUGGAAAAAUAGAAUGUGAAUAUUCAUUCAAGUAAAUGACUAUGCAUGUUGGAAUGUUAUAAAAAAUUGGCCUAUUAUACACAAAAAUUAACAAGAAAAUGAGAGGUUCAGCUCAAGAUGAGGGGACACUUUAGGACGUAAGGAGUAAAAAAACAAUGCAAAAGCCAUACAUACACUAUAUAUGGACUUGAUUGAAUGAAUUAAUAGCAUUUUCUAAAUGUGAAAUGGCUAAAGGAACUUUGAUGACAAUUAGAAAGUUACCCACGAGGGAACAAAUCAAGUUAGGAAUCUAAAAUAAGCAUGCUAGUACAUAAGUAUGAAUUAUUUAAAAUAAAAAUAAAUAAAAAUAAUUUCUUAGAUGUUCACUAGAUUCACUGAUAUUAUAAAUGGAAUAAAAGCCCUUAGUAAAGCAUAUACUAAUGUUGAGAUGGUGAGAAAGAUUCUCUAAGUGGUUACCAUGGAAUUGGGGACCAAAGGUGACUGCAAUAGAAGAGGCAACAGACCUCACCAAGAUGGGCCUUGACGAAUUACUUGGAUCUCUUAUGACACACACUAAAAAGCAAUGAGGAAUUUGAUGAAAGCAAAAAGAAAAGAAAAAUUACGUUCAAGACUUCCUCUUCACAUACAAAUGAAACCAUACUCGAUGAUAAAGAAAGUUAUGAGAAAAUGACCUUAUUUACAAGACGAUUCAAUAAAAUGUUCAAGAAGGGCCAAUUUCCACGAACACAAGGUAGAAGAAAUUUUGGCAAAGAAGAGGAAUCGAAGAAGGAUCUCAUUUGUUGCUUCGAGUACAAAAAGCCGAGACAUAUAAAAAUGGAUUGUCCAAAACUAAGAAAAGACAAGAGAUGCUCCAAGGAAAAAUUUCAAAAUUUCAAAAGGGCAUUUGCGGCAUGUGGAGAAAACAAUAUUGACACAUCCAAUAAUGAGUUAAGUAAUCAAGAAGUGGCAAACUUGUGUCUUGUUGCCAAAAAAGAUAAUAUAAAUGAUGUACAUCUUGAACCCAACUCUUUCAAUGAUUUACAAGAUAACUAUAAUGAUUUAUAUGAAGAGUCAUUAAAAUGGUAAAUAAAAAUUAUAUACUAAGAAAACAAGUUGCCUCACUUACCCUUGAAAUUGAAAACUCAAAGAAGCAUGUUAAUGAAUUAAUAAUUAAAAAUAAUGAGCUUAAGGCUAAAAAUUUGGAUUUGAUUACAUAUCUUGAAAAAUUUACUAAAGGACAAAAGAAUCUAGAUUUACUUAUUGGAUCACAAAGGUGUGUGUAUGAUCAUGCGGGGAUUGGAUAUAACACCUCAAAAAAACAAAUAUUAUACAAGAAUAUAUUUGUAAAAGCAUCUCAUCCCAUAACACAUAAAACACCAUGCACUUUUGUAACACCGAUGGUCAUACAAUAUAUUCAUGCUAUGUAAAUAAAUGUGUUAGAAGGGGAUUAAAAACUAUGUGGGUCCCUAAGAAAAAUGUCACUAACACACAAGGACCCAAUAAGAUUUGGAUACCAAAGACCAAUGUGUAAUUCUUGUGUGUAGGUAUGCUUGAACGCAAUAUCAAAGAAAAGAAGGUGGUACUUGGAUAGUGGAUGCUCAAGACAUAUAACCGGAGACAAAUCUAUGUUCGCAUCACUAUCUUCAAAGGAUGGUGGGUAUGUAAACUUCGGAGAUAAUAGCAAAGGCAAGAUCAUCGGUGUAAGUAAUGUUGGUAAAGAACUCCCUCCUAUUAUAGAAAAUGGCUUGCUUGUUGAUGAAUUAAAGUAUAAUUUUCUAAGCAUUAGGCAACUAUGUGAUAUAAGAAAUAGAGUUAUCUUUGACAAAAUCACUUGCACCAUAGAAAGCACCAAAGACGACAAAACCUUGUUUAUUGGUCAAAGAGUUAAAAAUGUAUACAUUUUUAAAAUUGACGAUGUUACACCAACCAAUGGAACUUGUCUAUCGGCUAUGAAUAACAAUGGUUGGUUAUGGCAUAGAAGGCUUGGGUAUGCUCAUAUGAAUCUCAUUUCUAAACCUGUCAAAAAGGAUUUAGUAAUUGAGCUACUAAAAAUCACUUUUGAAAAAGAUAGACUAUGUGGAGUAUGUCAACAAGGGAAACAAACUAAAAUAUCUUUUUAAAUCUAAAAAUAUUGUUUCACAUCUAGGCCACUAUAAUUUCUAAACAUGGAUUUAAUUGGUCCCUCAAGAACAAAGAGUCUUGAAGAAAAAUUAUACAUUCUUGUAGUUGUAGAUAAUUUCUCUCGAUUUACAUGGGUAGUGUUUUUAACCCAUAAAAAUGAAGCAUUUUCUUCAUUACAAAACUAUGUUGGCGACUUCAAAAUGAUAAAUAACUCAAUAUUUCAAAUAUUAGAAUCAAUCAUGGUAGAGAACUUGAAAAUAAGUAUUUUACUAAAUUUUGUGAUGAACUAGGAAUAUGACACAUUCGGUCCCUAGAACCCUUCAAUCAAGAUAAGGAAUUUUCAUAUAUCAAGAAAAUAUACGAAGGAGUUGCUCAAACAAUUUGGCAUGAUGGGAGCAAAGGCGCUAACUACACCCAUAAGCACAACCAUUAAGCUUGACAAGGAUAAAAACGACAAAAAUGCAGAUGAAAAGCUUUAUCGAGGUAUGAUAAGAUCCUUACUUUGCUUAAUGGUAAGUAGAUCUGAUAUCACUGUUUAGUAUUUGCAUAUGUGCUAGGUUUCAAUCAUGUCCUAAGGAAUCACAUCUAACGGCCAUAAAACGUAUAUUUAGAUAUCUCAUAGAUACAAAUGACUUAGGCAUAUUUUAUCCAAGUAGGACUUGCCUUUGAUUUAAAAGGGUACUACAAUACAGAUUAUGCAGGAUAUAAAGUAGAUCGAAAAAGUACGUGUGGUACUUGUCAAUUUCUAGUACAAUUCCUUGUUUCUUAGUUUAGUAAGAAACAAAAUUCUGUUGCACUAUCAACGGCCAAGGCCGAAUACGUGGCUGUCAGAAGUUGUUGUGCUCAAGUGCUUUGGAUAAAACAACAAAUUGAGGAUUAUGAUUUAUAUUUUGAUCAUAUUUUAAUUAAUUAUGACAACACAAGUGCUAUAAAUUUAUCUAAUAAUCCAUACAACAUUCAAGAACUAAACACAUUGAGAUUCGACACCAUUUUCUAAGAGAUCACAUCCAAAAAGGGGACAUUGGACUUAUAUAUGUACACAUCGACAAUCAAUUAGCGGAUAUUUUUACAAAACCCUUUGAUAAGAAAAUAUUUUAUUUCAUUAAACGUAAACUUUGUAUGUCUUAACCAAUGUAAAAUUAUUUUAGAUUCUUAGAAAAAUUCAUUUUACUUAUGUUAGUUGGCAUUUAGAAGGAGUAGUCUAUAUCAAAAUGAACUCCAACAAAACAACUAUAAAUAUACAAUUUAGUUCAAAAUUUAUAUGAUCAAAGUGUUAUGUAAGAUUGAUUUGAUUGUGUGAAUUGUCAAGUAUGAGAGUUAGAGUAUGAAAUUUAGAUACACAAGUAAAUGAUCAAAAGAAACAUGCCCAACAUAAAUUUUAUGUUAUUUAUGACUUGUGUGAUCAAAGAAAACAAGUAGAAAAGAUCAAUUUAGGGAAAAUUAAAUUGCUAUCAAAAAUGCAGUUGCUGAUAAAACUUCAGCUGACCAAAUCUAAUGUUCGGCUGACCAAAUGGCCAACUUCAGUUGACUGAAGUUGGCGACCGAACGUUUUGUAGCUGCAAAACUUGAAAAGGUCACGUAUAUUUUAAAUUAAAACAUUAAUUUGAUUCCCAACUAUUGAUUCUCAACUACUUACUUCUCCAUUUAAUACAUAUCUAUUACUCUCUCUCUUCUUCACUCUAAGAUAAACCCCAACCUAAUCAUCUUCUUCAAAGAGUUUUCCAAAUCUAGGGCUACUCAUCUUCAAAUCAGUUGAAAAUUUCAAACCCUUAAAAGUUUGAUCGUCAAUUCUCAGAGAAUCAACGACCGAAUCUACAACUUCGUUCGACCGAAGUUGCAGAAACAAUGAAGGAAAAAGAAGAGACAAAUUUUUUGACUCUUCAAAACUCGUCAAUCCAAGAGUUUUUAACAUUUCAUAUCUUCUUUAGAACUUUAAGAGUCCUUAUUUCUUAUAUAAAAAGCCCUUACCUCUAUCUCAAAUCAUCACAACAAAAUCAUCAAAACCCUAGUUCAAAAUAUCAAAGCCUUGGACCAAAAAUCGCAGAAUUUUUCAAUGGUGAGAACCAAACACGCAUCGAAUGAUCCGAAGGGUGAUGACCCUAACCCCGUUAAACCAGAGAUAGUUUUUAAUCAUCGACUAUACAAUACAAUGGAGAUUCAAAGGACAUGGCUUCCGGAGUUCAAGGAUAGGCCGAUUAUCACGGGACAGGAAUUUGGGAGAAGUUUCCCUCUCAAAUAUUAUCAGAAGAUGCUGGCCCCGAUGAACGCACUUGGAUGGCAUGGUCUUCGGCCCCUACCAAAUGACGUGUACACCAAUUUGGUAAGGCUCUUUUAUUGAAAUUUGGAAGUAGAAACCUUAGAAUACAUUGAAUAUACCAUAAACUCUAGGCUCCGAGGGAAAAACAUGGUGUUAACUCCCAUGAUCUUAUCUGAGUUCACUGGGAUUGUGAAUGCUAGAGAGUGCAUUUUUAUUAGCAAACCGAGCAAGCUUGAUCAAUAUGUUAGUAGGAAAAGCAUGUAUGAGAUCAUUGCCAAAGACAAAGCCAUAGGGGUCACUCAAACCAAGGACCUAAACAAAAAAUUUAGGUUGUUUCAUAGAUAUAUCGCUUAUAAUAUAAUUCCCAUGGCGGGACACUAUAAUCAAGUGACCAACAUGGAUGUAUUCAUCAUUUAUAAAGCUGCGGUAGAUGAACCCUUGAACCUCAACUACAUAAUACUCAAAAGAUGGCUGAUGUAAGGAACCAUAGUAGUCGAGUCCUACCCUUUGGUGCUCCUCUAACUAAAGUCUUUAAUCACUUUUGAGUAAAAAUAAGGGAUCAACGCAAUCAAUACAUAGGUAAAGGGUUCUCGAUAACCACAAUUAAGAGGGGGUAUAAGCAUUGACUCUACCGAGGAUGAAGGUGAGGAAGAUGAGAGAGACGAGGGAAUAAGUUACCAUGCCAUGGAAGUUGAGGGAAACCUUAAAGUUCCUCCACCUCAAACCAAGAAAACUUAUGUGGAUCCAAGUUAAACUGUCCAACUCCAAUGGAAAGACGAGAAAACAAUGAAUGAAGGGCAUACAAUGCAUGAGGAAGUUCCUAUGCAAUGGGAGUAUCCGAUGCAUGGCAGGCAUCCCUCUUAAGAAGGGACUUCAUCACAAGGAGGACCACUGGCUUGGUUUCUCGAGUAGUUUGGCAAGUUGAAUGAGUCAUUGGUAUGAAUAGAGCAAUAUCAAGAGGAAAUCAUUCAAACCCAAGAGAAACACAAGGAAUACAUUGAUAGGCUCAGAGAUCUUCAUGAGAAGCAAGGGAAAUACACUGAUAGGCUCAAAGAUAUAUAUGAAAACCUAUACAAACAACAGACGGCCUUCAAUCAGCAAAUGAAUGAGGUUGAGGCUAAAUUGAACGGUAUAUGGGUUCAAAUCGUGUGACGACCCCCCCGACACCCUUGAGGCUAGACGCGACACUGGGCAACGUCAUACCAUUUUUGUGGUCCUUUUUCCUUUAAAAAUUUUCUUUUCAUUUCGUUUGCAGAAGCAAAACAUAUAUAUAUUUAUUUUGAAAGCCAAAAAUAGAAUAAACAUUUUAAAAUCAUUUAUCCAAAACACGUAUAACGGUAGAGAGACUGUGCCUAUCUUAACAUUCAUACAUAAUUUCAUAAGGUCUCAA